rnacentral:rRNA from 1 species
UACAGAAACUCAAAGGAAGUUGACGGGGCCCGGCACAAGCGGUGGAGUAUGUGGUUUAAUUCGAUGCAACGCGAAGAACCUUACCUGGUCUUGACAUCCCGGAGACCCUUAGGAAACUAGGGGUGCUUCCAUCUGGAAGAAUCUGGAGACAGGUGCUGCAUGGCUGUCGUCAGCUCGUGUCGUGAGAUGUUGGGUUAAGUCCCGCAACGAGCGCAACCCUUGCCUUUAGUUGCCAGCAGUUCGGCUGGGCACUCUAAAGGGACUGCCGGUGUUAAACCGGAGGAAGGUGGGGAUGACGUCAAGUCCUCAUGGCCUUUAUGACCAGGGCUACACACGUACUACAAUGGCCGAUACAAAGGGCAGCGACACUGCGAGGUGAAGCCAAUCCCGUAAAAUCGGUCUCAGUCCGGAUUGGAGUCUGCAACUCGACUCCAUGAAGUUGGAAUCGCUAGUAAUCGUGGAUCAGCAUGCCACGGUGAAUACGUUCCCGGGCCUU